UGGUUCUGGCAUNGAUGAAGAACGCAGCGAAAUGCGAUAAGUAGUGUGAAUUGCAGAAUUCCGUGAAUCAUCGAAUCUUUGAACGCACAUUACGCCUGUUGGUAUAUUCCAAUAGGCAUGCCUGUUCGAGCGUCAUUUAAACCUUCAAGCUUUGCUUGGUGUUGGGUGCUGUCUGCUGUUUCUUUCUGCAGACUCGCCUUGAAUGAAUUGGCAGCUAGCAUUUGGUGUGUUGGAGCGCAGCAUAUUUUGCGUUCUCGGCUAUAAUAGCGGGCGUCCAGAAAGCUUAUUUCAACGUUUAACCUCGGAUCAGGUAGGGAUACCCGCUGA
rnacentral:misc_RNA from 1 species